rnacentral:rRNA from 1 species
GACGAACGCUGGCGGCGUGCUUAACACAUGCAAGUCGAGCGGAGCGGCGAACGGGUGAGUAAGGAAUGAGUAACGGCCCCCCUCUCUGGGAUGAAAGAUGGAAACGGCUGGUAAUACCGGAUAGUGGGGGUGGACUCGCGUCCUAUCCGAUUGUUGGUGGGGUAUUGGCCUACCAAGGCGACGACGGGUAGCCGGGCUGAGAGGGCGACCUGCCACAUUGGGCUGAGACACGGCCCAAACUGCUACGGGAGGCAGCAGUGGGGAAUAUUGCACAAUGGGGGGAACCCUGAUGCAGCAACGCCGCGUGCGGGAUGACGGCCUUCGGGUUGUAAACCUCUUUCAGCCAUGACGCGGUAGUGGCAGAAGAAGCACCGGCUAACUACGUGCCAGCAGCCGCGGUAAUAC